rnacentral:rRNA from 1 species
GCAGUCGAACGAGGUCCAUGGAGCUUGCUCCGGAAGACCUAGUGGCGAACGGGUGCGUAACACGUGAGAAACCUGCCCCAGACUUGGGAAUAACAGUUGGAAACAGCUGCUAAUACCGAAUACCUUCACACCGCCGCAUGGCGAAGUGAAGAAAGCUCCGGCGGUUUGGGAGGGUCUCGCGGCCUAUCAGCUUGUUGGUGAGGUAACGGCUCACCAAGGCAUCGACGGGUAGCUGGUCUGAGAGGAUGAUCAGCCACACUGGAACUGAGACACGGUCCAGACUCCUACGGGAGGCAGCAGUGGGGAAUAUUGCACAAUGGGCGCAAGCCUGAUGCAGCAACGCCGCGUGCGGGAAGAAGGCCCUAGGGUUGUAAACCGCUUUCAGCAGGGAAGAAAAUGACGGUACCUGCAGAAGAAGGUGCGGCCAACUACGUGCCAGCAGCCGCGGUGACACGUAGGCACCAAGCGUUGUCCGGAUUUAUUGGGCGUAAAGAGCUCGUA